rnacentral:rRNA from 1 species
ACUGGUGAGUAACACGUGGAUAACCUGCCCUGAAGUAUGGGAUAACAUUUGGAAACAAGUGCUAAUACCGUAUAAUUAGUAAAAGUCGCAUGACUUCUACUUGAAAGAUGGUUCUGCUAUCGCUUUAGGAUGGAUCCGCGGCGUAUUAGCUAGUUGGUGAGAUAAAAGCCCACCAAGGCGAUGAUACGUAGCCGACCUGAGAGGGUAAUCGGCCACAUUGGGACUGAGACACGGCCCAGACUCCUACGGGAGGCAGCAGUAGGGAAUCUUCCACAAUGGACGAAAGUCUGAUGGAGCAACGCCGCGUGAGUGAAGAAGGGUUUCGGCUCGUAAAACUCUGUUGUUAAAGAAGAACAAGUGUAAGAGUAACUGUUUACGCUUUGACGGUAUUUAACCAGAAAGCCACGGCUAACUACGUGCCAGCAGCCGCGGUAAUACGUAGGUGGCAAGCGUUGUCCGGAUUUAUUGGGCGUAAAGCGAGCGCAGGCGGUUUUUUAAGUCUGAUGUGAAAGCCUUCGGCUCAACCGAAGAAGUGCAUCGGAAACUAAAUAACUUGAAUAC